UGCAAGUCGAGCGAACAGACAAGGAGCUUGCUCCUUUGACGUUAGCGGCGGACGGGUGAGUAACACGUGGGUAACCUACCUAUAAGACUGGGAUAACUUCGGGAAACCGGAGCUAAUACCGGAUAAUAUUUCGAACCGCAUGGUUCGAUAGUGAAAGAUGGUUUUGCUAUCACUUAUAGAUGGACCCGCGCCGUAUUAGCUAGUUGGUAAGGUAACGGCUUACCAAGGCGACGAUACGUAGCCGACCUGAGAGGGUGAUCGGCCACACUGGAACUGAGACACGGUCCAGACUCCUACGGGAGGCAGCAGUAGGGAAUCUUCCGCAAUGGGCGAAAGCCUGACGGAGCAACGCCGCGUGAGUGAUGAAGGUCUUCGGAUCGUAAAACUCUGUUAUUAGGGAAGAACAUACGUGUAAGUAACUAUGCACGUCUUGACGGUACCUAAUCAGAAAGCCACGGCUAACUACGUGCCAGCAGCCGCGGUAAUACGUAGGUGGCAAGCGUUAUCCGGAAUUAUUGGGCGUAAAGCGCGCGUAGGCGGUUUUUUAAGUCUGAUGUGAAAGCCCACGGCUCAACCGUGGAGGGUCAUUGGAAACUGGAAAACUUGAGUGCAGAAGAGGAAAGUGGAAUUCCAUGUGUAGCGGUGAAAUGCGCAGAGAUAUGGAGGAACACCAGUGGCGAAGGCGACUUUCUGGUCUGUAACUGACGCUGAUGUGCGAAAGCGUGGGGAUCAAACAGGAUUAGAUACCCUGGUAGUCCACGCCGUAAACGAUGAGUGCUAAGUGUUUAGGGGGUUUCCGCCCCCUUAGUGCUGCAGCUAACGCAUUAAGCACUCCGCCUGGGGAGUACGACCGCAAGGUUGAAACUCAAAGGAAUUGACGGGGACCGCACAAGCGGUGGAGCAUGUGGUUUAAUUCGAAGCAACGCGAAGAACCUUACCAAUCUUGACAUCCUUUGACAACUCU
rnacentral:rRNA from 1 species